AGAAUCAACGCUGGCGGCGUGCCUAACACAUGCAAGUCGCACGAGAAAGGGGAGCAAUCCCCGAGUAAAGUGGCGCACGGGUGAGUAACACGUGAAUUAUCUACCUCCGAGUGGGGGAAUAACUGAGAGAAAUCUUGGCUAAUACCGCAUAACACUUACGAGUCAAAGCAGCAAUGCGCUUGGAGAGGAGUUCGCGGCCGAUUAGCUAGUUGGCGGGGUAAUGGCCCACAAGGCGAUGAUCGGUA
rnacentral:rRNA from 1 species